GAUGAACGCUAGCGGGAGGCUUAACACAUGCAAGUCGAGGGGCAGCAUAGGGUAGCAAUACUCUGAUGGCGACCGGCAAACGGGUGAGUAACGCGUAUGUAACCUACCCUGUACAGGGGGAUAACCCGGAGAAAUUCGGACUAAUAUCCCAUAACAAUAUCCGGGGGCAUCUUUGGAUAUUUAAAGUUCCGGCGGUACGGGAUGGGCAUGCGUAACAUUAGCUAGUUGGUAAGGUAACGGCUUACCAAGGCUUUGAUGUUUAGGGGUCCUGAGAGGGUGGUCCCCAACUGGUACUGAGACACGGACCAGACUCCUACGGGAGGCAGCAGUGAGGAAUAUUGGUCAAUGGGCGCAAGCCUGAACCAGCCAUCCCGCGUGCAGGAAGACGGCGCUAUGCGUUGUAAACUGCUUUUCCAGGGAGAGAAACUUGCGCACGUGUUGCGCAAUUGACGGUACCCUGGGAAUAAGCAUCGGCUAACUCCGUGCCAGCAGCCGCGGUAAACGUGCGU
rnacentral:rRNA from 1 species